rnacentral:snRNA from 1 species
UUUUACAUCGUAAUGCGUUAUG